GUCGAGAAUUUUUCUCAAUGGGGGAAACCCUGAAGGAGCGACGCCGCGUGGAGGAUGAAGGUCUUCGGGUUGUAAACUCCUGUCAUUUGGGAACAAGGCGCAGGUAUUAACUGUACCUGCGUUGAUAGUACCAGAAGAGGAAGAGACGGCUAACUCUGUGCCAGCAGCCGCGGUAAUACAGAGGUCUCAAGCGUUGUUCGGAUUCAUUGGGCGUAAAGGGUGCGUAGGUGGCGCGGUAAGUCGGGUGUGAAAUUUCGGAGCUUAACUCCGAAACUGCAUUCGAUACUGCCGUGCUUGAGGACUGGAGAGGAGACUGGAAUUUACGGUGUAGCAGUGAAAUGCGUAGAGAUCGUAAGGAAGACCAGUGGCGAAGGCGGGUCUCUGGACAGUUCCUGACACUGAGGCACGAAGGCCAGGGGAGCAAACGGGAUUAGAAACCCUAGUAGUCC
rnacentral:rRNA from 1 species